GACGAACGCUGGCGGCGUGCUUAACACAUGCAAGUCGAGCGGUAAGGCCCUUUCGGGGGUACACGAGCGGCGAACGGGUGAGUAACACGUGGGUGACCUGCCCUCAGCUCUGGGAUAAGCCUGGGAAACCGGGUCUAAUACUGGAUAUGACUCCAUGACGCAUGUUGUGGGGUGGAAAGCCUUGUGCGGCUGAGGAUGGGCCCGCGGCCUAUCAGCUUGUUGGUGGGGUGAUGGCCUACCAAGGCGACGACGGGUAGCCGGCCUGAGAGGCGACCGGCCACACUGGGACUGAGACACGGCCCAGACUCCUACGGGAGGCAGCAGUGGGGAAUCUUGCGCAAUGGGCGAAAGCCUGACGCAGCGACGCCGCGUGAGGGAUGACGG
rnacentral:rRNA from 1 species